rnacentral:lncRNA from 1 species
CUGAUAAACACAUCCUCUCUCAUUUCGUUUUUCCCUCGCGGCACGAUGCUAAGCACAUUACACACACAGCACGCCACUGUGCUCGUCGUCACACUGGUCGGAACAUCAUGUGUGACGUACGUGUCACACCUAUGGUGCCAGAGAGCAGUUGGGAGGGAAGGAUGGAUGGAGGACAAGGCGGAGGACCUGAGCCCCGGGACCAUGCCUCAGGGCUACCUGGCCUGAUGACUUCUUGCUGUCCCCAGUCCACCUGGUCGUGCUGCUGCUCCAGUUUCAACUGUUCUGCCUGUGGCUAUGGAACCCUGGCCUGUUCACCGGACGUGCUACCUUGUCCCGGACCUGCUGUUUUCGACUCUCUCUCUCGCACCUGCUGUCUCUAACGCUGAAUGCCAUUUGACUUUUACUCAUGAGAGACAAGUGUGCUGGAGGCAGAGCAGAUACACAUCAGCUGUAACCUGUUCCAUAAUCAAGACCUCUACAAGUACUCAGCCCUGCCACUUCCAUGCUGCCAGAUCGGAACAUCUGCUCAGUCAGUCUAUGGUUUUAGAUGUUUGUUCCUGCAUAGAUCCUGUUGUCGUGUUGUGCCUAUUUUCCCUUGCCUGACUCUGGUUUCCAUUCCGCUACACUUCUGUCCACUCUGGUCCCUGUCUCCAGUCCCACGUCUCGUCAGGCCUGCUACCCUGUCCCCCCCUGAGCACCUGGCUCCAUGCAACCCGCCAAGCUUUCCCUGUCCUGCACCCCAUCUUCCCCCUGUUUUUCAAUAAAUACCUUGGUUACCUUAUCC